rnacentral:rRNA from 1 species
AUUGAACGCUGGCGACAGGCUUAACACAUGCAAGUCGAGCGGAGAUGAGGUGCUUGCACCUUAUCUUAGCGGCGGACGGGUGAGUAAUGCUUAGGAAUCUGCCUAUUAGUGGGGGACAACAUUCCGAAAGGAAUGCUAAUACCGCAUACGUCCUACGGGAGAAAGCAGGGGAUCUUCGGACCUUGCGCUAAUAGAUGAGCCUAAGUCGGAUUAGCUAGUUGGUGGGGUAAAGGCCUACCGAGGCGACGAUCUGUAGCGGGUUUGAGAGGAUGAUCCGCCACACUGGGACUGGGACACGGCCCAGACUCCUACGGGAGGCAGCGGUGGGGAAUAUUGGACAAUGGGGGGAACACUGAUCCAGCCAUGCCGCGUGUGUGAAGAAGGCCUUAUGGUUGUAAAGCACUUUAAGCGAGGAGGAGGCUACUGAGACUAAUACUCUUGGAUAGUGGACGUUACUCGCAGAAUAAGCACCGGCUAACUCUGUGCCAGCCGCCGCCGUAA